CGUUCCCGGGCCUUGUACACACCGCCCGUCACGUCACGAAAGUCGGCAACACCCGAAGCCGGUGGCCCAACCCUUGUGGAGGGAGCCGUCGAAGGUGGGGCUGGCGAUUGGACG
rnacentral:rRNA from 1 species